rnacentral:rRNA from 1 species
UACGAAGGGGGCUAGCGUUGUUCGGAAUUACUGGGCGUAAAGCGCGCGCAGGCGGCUCUUCAAGUCAGGGGUGAAAGCCCAGAGCUCAACUCUGGAACUGCCUUUGAGACUGAAGAGCUUGAGUACGGGAGAGGUGAGUGGAAUUCCCAGUGUAGAGGUGAAAUUCGUAGAUAUUGGGAAGAACACCGGUGGCGAAGGCGGCUCACUGGCCCGUUACUGACGCUCAGGCGCGACAGCGUGGGGAUC